UACGUAGGGGGCUAGCGUUGUCCGGAAUCAUUGGGCGUAAAGCGCGUGUAGGCGGCCCGGUAAGUCCGCUGUGAAAGUCGGGGGCUCAACCCUCGGAUGCCGGUGGAUACUGUCGGGCUCGAGUACGGAAGAGGCGAGUGGAAUUCCUGGUGUAGCGGUGGAAUGCGCAGAUAUCAGGAGGAACACCGGUGGCGAAGGCGGGAUCCUGGGCCAGUACUGACGCUGAGGAGCGAAAGCGUGGGGAGCAAACAGG
rnacentral:rRNA from 1 species